GCGGGAAUAGCUCAGUUGGUAGAGCACAACCUUGCCAAGGUUGGGGUAGCGAGUUCGAGUCUCGUUUCCCGCUCCA
rnacentral:tRNA from 1 species